CUCCCACUGCCGCCAUCUUGGACCCCUCCUCCUCAGUAAGCGGAAGAGUGCAUAUGGAAGAGAGCAAGCAAGAAAGAGAGAGACAAUGGAGCAAUUCUGAUGCUUCUGUAACAUCUGGGGAUGGCAGGGCCUGCAUUACUGAUGAGCCUGAAUAUUUUUUCUCCUACCUUUUUCUUCAUCGAAGAACAAUUAUUACACAUACUUACUGCACUGUUUCUCCUCCUUUCCCCUCAUUUUUCUCCACUCCUACAGUGAUGCAUUCUUUGGCGGUGGUUAAAAUAAUAUCCCAGGCUGACAGAAGGAGAGAGGGUGAGGCCUGUGCAGGAGGCUAAAAAAGAAACCCAUUGUGUUUGUAGGAGUGUGGACAGAAAAUAUGCUUGUUCACUGUAGGAAAGGAGUUAGUUUUUGAGAAACCUAUCAGAAAAAGGCACAGAACCACUUCUUAUCAGACGCCAUGAAGGGCUUGCUACCAUAAAUUGGCCUAGAAUUGGAAGAGGAUUUGUCAUCUUGCUUCUACUUUCCCCAGUAAAGCACUAUGUGUUAUUCUUUGUGUGGCAGCACUGCAUGUCAGUAACAGUAAAAUCAUGCUUUUCUGAUUUAUUCAUUGUCAAUUAUGGAAUUUCAUUCUAAUAUAUACUGCCACUUACGCCAGUCUUAGGCCAUCUCAUUUAAAUGACAUCUCAAAAAUAUUUUAUGAUAGUAAAAAAAUCUAUCAAACGCUAACAGCCAACAUAUGUAGAUUUUACAAGGCGGUUUUUGUGUGUUCAGGAACAAAUCUUACCUUUACCAGUUCAAGGAUGCAAAAGAUGCUGAAUGCCAAUAAAGUUCUUCUCUGAUAGAAUAGGGAAGAAUAUAGU
ensembl:lncRNA